rnacentral:lncRNA from 1 species
CUUCAUAGCAACAAUUUACAUGAACUAAGUUCUUAGCCCAAUUAUCAUCAAGAGAUAAAAGUCAUAAAACUAACUAUUAUACCACAGAAAAUUAUAUAAUUAUUCAACAAAUUCGCUCUAAAAUGUGAAAUUGAAAAACUUUACAAUACCUCCAUCGGGAAGAGAAACAGCAGAAUUGCAUUUUCUUGACAAAUUUACAGACAGCUCACAGUACUGCCUUUCAUAUCCUUCAUAAACCUUGCUCAUCUUUCCUCCCAAAUCCCUAAUCAAUUCAAAACCCAGAAUUAAAGAUCGUCAAAUCUUUGAUCAAGCAAAAAGUUUAUCACAGUUCAAUUAUGUAGCCGUUGCCACCCGCUCAAAUUGAAAAAAUCAGUUAAUUCAAAUUCAAGAAACUAAAGAAACAAGAAUAUUAAUCAAACCAAAAGACCAAGAUAAUUAUGUAAACAGCUUGGGGAAGCAGUAGCAGGAAUAAAAUCAAUUUGCAAAGACAGAAACGAAUAAGUUAACUUGGAUCAGAAGUGAGUCUGAUGAGCGAGAAAUUAUUGGGAGGGCCUAUAUUCCAGAGGGACUUGGAGGAUGGAAAUUAAAA